rnacentral:rRNA from 1 species
GACGAACGCUGGCGGCGUGCUUAACACAUGCAAGUCGAACGAAGUGGCGAACGGGUGAGUAACGCGUAAUCAACCUGCCCUUCAGAGGGGGACAACAGUUGGAAACGACUGCUAAUACCGCAUACUGAAGGAGGGGACUGCGUCUGAUUAGCUAGUUGGAGGGGUAACGGCCCACCAAGGCGAUGAUCAGUAGCCGGUCCUGGGGGUGUGACGGCCAAAUUGGGAAUGGGACACGGCCCAAAAUCCUACGGGAGGCAGCAGGGGGGAAUCUUCCGCAAAGGACGAAAGGCUGAAGGAGCAACGCCGCGGGAGUGAUGACGGCCUUCCGGUUGUAAAGCUCUGUUAAUCGGGACGCGGUACCGGAAUAGAAAGCCACGGCUAACUACGUGCCAGCCGCCGCGGUAAUUC